GGGUUAGGGUUAGGGUUAGGGUUGGAGUUAGGGUUAGUGUUGGAGCUAGGGUUAGGGUUGGGCUUGGAGCUAGGAUUUUUCUGAGUGCACUGAACCAACUCCCGAGUCUCUAGGACGUUCCUAAAAAAAUUUUGAUUUUUUCCCAUAGGAAUGCAUGGGUUAGGGUUAGGGUUAGGGUUAGGGUUGGAGCUAGGGUUAGGGUUAGGGUUAGGGUUGGAGUUAGGGUUAGUGUUGGAGCUAGGGUUAGGGUUGGGCUUGGAGCUAGGAUUUUUCUGAGUGCAAUGAACCAACUCCCGAGUCUCUAGGACGUUCCUAAAAAAAUUUGAUUUUUUCCCAUAGGAAUGCAUGGGUUAGGGUUAGGGUUAGGGUUAGGGUUGGAGCUAGGGUUAGGGUUAGGGUUAGGGUUGGAGUUAGGGUUAGUGUUGGAGCUAGGGUUAGGGUUGGGGUUAGGGUUGGAGUUAGGGUUAGUGUUGGAGCUAGGGUUAGGGUUGGGCUUGGAGCUAGGAUUUUUCUGAGUGCACUGAACCAACUCCCGAGUCUCUAGGACGUUCCUAAAAAAUUUGAUUUUUUCCCAUAGGAAUGCAUGGGUUAGGGUUAGGGUUAGGGUUAGGGUUGGAGCUAGGGUUAGGGUUAGGGUUAGGGUUGGAGUUAGGGUUAGUGUUGGAGCUAGGGUUAGGGUUGGGCUUGGAGCUAGGAUUUUUCUGAGUGCAAUGAACCAACUCCCGAGUCUCUAGGACGUUCCUAAAAAAAUUUGAUUUUUUCCCAUAGUAAUGCAUGGGUUAGGGUUAGGGUUAGGGUUGGAGCUAGGGUUAGGGUUAGGGUUAGGGUUGGAGUUAGGGUUAGUGUUGGAGCUAGGGUUAGGGUUGGGCUUGGAGCUAGGAUUUUUCUGAGUGCACUGAACCAACUCCCAAGUCUCUAGGACGUUCCUAAAAAAAUUUGAUUUUUUCCCAUAGGAAUGCAUGGGUUAGGGUUAGGGUUAGGGUUAGGGUUGGAGCUAGGGUUAGGGUUGGAGUUAGGGUUAGUGUUGGAGCUGGGGUUAGGGUUGAGCUUGGAGCUAGGAUUUUUCUGAGUGCAAUGAACCAACUCCCGAGUCUCUAGGACGUUCCUAAAAAAAUUUGAUUUUUUCCCAUAGGAAUGCAUGGGUUAGGGUUAGGGUUGGAGCUAGGGUUAGGGUUAGGGUUAGGGUUGGAGUUAGGGUUAGUGUUGGAGC